rnacentral:rRNA from 1 species
UACGGAGGGGGCUAGCGUUGUUCGGAAUUACUGGGCGUAAAGCGCACGUAGGCGGCUUUGUAAGUUAGAGGUGAAAGCCCGGGGCUCAACUCCGGAAUUGCCUUUAAGACUGCAUCGCUAGAAUUGUGGAGAGGUAAGUGGAAUUCCGAGUGUAGAGGUGAAAUUCGUAGAUAUUCGGAAGAACACCAGUGGCGAAGGCGGCCUGCUGGGCAGUGGCUGACACUGAGGCGCGACAGCGUGGGGAGCAAACAGG